AGAGUUUGAUCCUGGCUCAGGAUGAACGCUGGCGGCGUGCCUAACACAUGCAAGUCGAACGGACUUAUAACGAAACCUAGUGAAUUAUAAGUUAGUGGCGGACGGGUGAGUAACGCGUGGAAAACCUGCCGUAUACUGGGGGAUAACACUUAGAAAUAGGUGCUAAUACCGCAUAAGCGCACAGCUUCGCAUGAAGCAGUGCGAAAAACUCCGGUGGUAUACGAUGGUUCCGCGUCUGAUUAGCUAGUUGGUGAGGUAAAAGCCCACCAAGGCAACGAUCAGUAGCCGGCCUGAGAGGGUGAACGGCCACAUUGGGACUGAGACACGGCCCAGACUCCUACGGGAGGCAGCAGUGGGGGAUAUUGCACAAUGGGGGAACCCUGAUGCAGCGACGCCGCGUGAGUGAAGAAGUAUUUCGGUACGUAAAGCUCUAUCAGCAGGGAAGAACAAUGACGGUACCUGACUAAGAAGCCCCGGCUAACUACGUGCCAGCAGCCGCGGUAAUACGUAGGGGGCAAGCGUUAUCCGGAUUUACUGGGUGUAAAGGGAGCGUAGACGGCUGUGCAAGUCUGAAGUGAAAUGCCGGGGCUCAACCCCGGAACUGCUUUGGAAACUGUACAGCUAGAGUGCAGGAGGGGUGAGCGGAAUUCCUAGUGUAACGGUGAAAUGCGUAGAUAUUAGGAGGAACACCGGUGGCGAAGGCGGCUCACUGGACUGUAACUGACGUUGAGGCUCGAAAGCGUGGGGAGCAAACAGGAUUAGAUACCCUGGUAGUCCACGCCGUAAACGAUGGAUUUACUAGGUGUCGGGGGGGCCAAGGCCCUUCGGUGGCCGGGCGCAAACCCAUUAAG
rnacentral:rRNA from 1 species